rnacentral:rRNA from 1 species
UACGUAGGGUGCAAGCGUUGUCCGGAAUUAUUGGGCGUAAAGAGCUCGUAGGCGGUUUGUCGCGUCUGCUGUGAAAUCUGGGGGCUCAACCCCCAGCCUGCAGUGGGUACGGGCAGACUAGAGUGCGGUAGGGGAGAUUGGAAUUCCUGGUGUAGCGGUGGAAUGCGCAGAUAUCAGGAGGAACACCGAUGGCGAAGGCAGAUCUCUGGGCCGUAACUGACGCUGAGACGCGAAAGCGUGGGGAGCAAACAGG